AGAGGCUAUAGGAACUGCAUAGCCUUAUGUCAUGCAUAGUCUUUAUGACCUGCAUAAUCUAAGGUCCACAGUCAUGCAGUGGCCUGCUUAUAUUUAUACCCUUCGAAUCCUAUAUGACCUGAGUAGUCUCUAUGACUGUACAGCCUCAAGGACCCAGAGCUGCCAGCUGGAGUGGCCUAAAAGUGAAACUGGUGGCAAUAGCUCUCAUUUCCCUUUCUACCUGUAAAAGAUAUCAUUGAAAACUAAACCUGGUUCAUUCAACUCCCACAGACUGGAAAUGACAAACAUCUCUUACAUCAACAUCCUGCUUUUGUCACAUAAUCCCAACAUAACCACAGGGGAUGCCUGAAAAAUGUUGGUGAGCACAAGAACUCGUAAAGCCAUAAUUCAGAACUGAGUCAUGGAAGAAACUACUGCCUCUCCUAUGAUAAUAAGUAACCGGGGAAUUUGGCAAGCUUCUACAUAGGCUAACUGCAGACCACAACAAAACUGAUGGAUUUUGUUAGCGACUGAGGAGGUCAUCAGAUGUGAUAGACAGCUAGAGAAGCUUAAAAAGGCUCAGUCUUUAAAAAGUUUCAGGUUUUGAUCUUCUGUAGUGAUCAUGAGACGAUGGUUCUCAGGCAGCCUGCUGGUAGUAGAAUCAUGUGAAGACAGAGCUAAGCUGCUGCAGUUCAACCAGAAAUGAUCAUCAGUCAAUAGCGAAAGAUAAGCUUCAUCAAAAUGAAAGAGAAAAUCCAGAAGAAGAAAAUACAAGAUGUGAGUGUAAGGAGUCCAAACGCAGAAGAGAGGUUAAUGAAUCUCCAGACUGCACUAUGACAGUUGUACUCUAACAGAGGCAGCAAACCCAGACCAGCGCUGUAUGACCCAACAGAUAAAGACACUGAGAACAUGCGUCACAGAAA